GACGAACGCUGGCGGCGUGCCUAACACAUGCAAGUCGAACGGACAGGCCAUGAUUUUGUGGGGCUCUCGAGUGGCGCACGGGUGAGUAACACGUGAGUAUCCUGUCCUUGUCUUAGGGAUAAAUUUAGGAAACAGGGGCUCAUAUCGGAUAGGAGAUCUUGCUGCACGGUGGGGGUUGGAAAGUUUCGGCGGUUGGGGCUGGUUUCGCGGCUUAUCAGCUUCUUAGUGUGGUAGUGGCUUACCAAGGCUUUGAAGGGUAGCCGGCCUGAGAGGUUGACCGGCCACAAGGGUACUGAGAGACGGAGCAGACGGCAACGGGAGGCAGCAGGGGGAAAUAUGACACAGCGAGCGGAAGCCAGUUGCAGCAACGCCGCGUGCGGGAUAACGUCCUACGAGUUAAGAACCGCUGUCUCAUGAAACAUAGCGGGAGUGACGGUAAUUAAUAAAGAAGCACCGGCUAACUACGUG
rnacentral:rRNA from 1 species